ensembl:lncRNA TRIM8-DT TRIM8 divergent transcript
CCUCGCAGGGGCCGGAGCCCGGGGUCUGCGGGGCCAGGAGGCGAGGGCGGCCGCGCCGAGGGCUGCUAGAUCCGGACGGGGCGGGAGGGGCAGGCCGGCGGUCCCCGGGCCACGGUGCAGGCGUCCCCCGGCUGGCUGGCCGGGCGCGGGCUGCGGGGCGCGGGCGGGCCGACUCCGGGGCGCUGCGUGCGCGCAGGGGCAGUCAUUCAGAUGAAAUUCCAGUCCCCGGCCAGAGACACCAGCCCGCCUCUGCCUUCCUCCUCCCUUCACAAAUAGAAACGGAAGGGGGAGGGAGAGAAGUGGAAAAAAAGGCAACCGGCGAGGGAGGGAGGGAGAAGCCCCGGCGGCGCUCCGGCCUGACCCCCGGGCGGCUACUUCUGCGCUCCCCCGAGGCCCGGCGCCCCCGCCGCGGAGAGACCCCGCGCGCCCGUCUCCGCGCUGGGCGGGCGCCCGGGCUCUGCCGAGGAAAACAAGGAUUGAUCAAACUAGAAAGGAAUUUUUCUCAACUGCUAAUGAACAGGAGGCUCGGCUCCCGGCCCUCCCCUCCCCUCCCCCGGCCCUCCCCCUUCGCCCCCCCGGCCCCCUCCUCCCCACUUUCUUUUCUUCUCGGCCUCUGCUGGGGCCUGGAAGGCUCGGGGCUGCGGUCGGAGCCAGCCUGCGGCGGCGGGGCCAGGCCGAGCCGCCACCCUCAGCGCCCAGCCAUCUUGGGCUCCGCGGCGGCGGCCGGGGUCUGGGCGCGCUCGCUGAGGGCCCCGCGGCGUCCUCUCGCUCCUGAUUCUUUUUUUUUUUUUUUUGGUGGGAUUUUUUUUUUUCCAAGGGGAGGGCUGGCGGCCUCCAACAAAUUAGGAGAGAGAGAGGGAGAAAAUGCCAAGUCCCGAUUUCUCUCCACCUCUGCUCCACCCACCCCGGUCCUGUCCAAAAAAUAAAAGAAGAUGAGAAUUGGAAGAAGUCGGCAGAAAGGCGAGAGCCCGCGGUCCCCGGCUGCUGCCCAGGCGACGCGUCCGGGGCGGGCCCGCACCCGUUGCUCGGUCCGAGGUCCGUCUGUCUGCCCGCGGCUUCUCAAGGGAGGGGAGGGCGCUUCGGGCAGGGUCUCCGCAGCCGCUGUCGCCUCAGAGCUUUAUCCUCAGAUCAAAAAAGAAAAAACAGGAAGAAAAAAAUCCCAACCCCAACACUCUCAUCACAGCCACCUUCAGCCAUCUUGCGCGUAUUAUUAUUUCAGGAAUAAUCUGUUUAAUAAAAAUACCUGCGUAUCCAGCCCCUCCCCCGCGUCCUGGGGUCCCCGCCCCCUUUUAAUAAUAAUCUCGAUAAUAAAAACGAUCGGCGGGCCGGGCAGUCCGUGGCGGCCCUUU